rnacentral:rRNA from 1 species
UACGUAGGGGGCAAGCGUUGUCCGGAAUCAUUGGGCGUAAAGAGCGCGUAGGCGGCCCUGUAAGUCCGCUGUGAAAGUCAAGGGCUCAACCCUUGAAUGCCGGUGGAUACUGCAGGGCUAGAGUCCGGGAGAGGAGAGUGGAGUUCCUGGUGUAGCGGUGAAAUGCGUAGAUAUCAAGAGGAACACCUGAGGUGAAGACGGGUUGCUGGGCUGACACGUGACGCUGAGGCGCGAAAGCUAGGGUAGCAAACGGG